AUGUGUUUUAUUUUUUUUUAUCUGUCCACAAAGUCAUAUUAGUCACUACUAUGUUAGAUCAGUUUUCCCUCACUGCAAUGGCAGUCAGCUACACAAGAGCCCAAACCCAGCACGGCGCCCUCCGCUCAAAAGAUUUGUCAUUUUAUGAUAAAUAACACCCUUGGGACAAUCAGAUGCUGUACAAGGAGGAUCAGUUAUUGUGAGAACCCUUUGAAUGUGAUAUUUUAGCGUUUUGGUGAAAUCGAGAUUUAAGGUGCAAUUUCAAGAUGCAAAUACAAAAGGGGAUUUUUUUUUUUUUUUUUUUUUUUGGAGGGGGGUCAUUUAGUAUUUUUCCUAAUGUGACCACAGUUUGACAGAUUCACAGAAGGAUGAUGUUGAUGUAGCUCACCUUGGUUUGGUUUUACACAUGGAUGUUUUCAAAGAGUUUUUCAUUUGUAAAACAAUUUGUUGCAAAAUACCAAAUAAUGUUCAUUUUUAUGUGAAAAAUGUGCAUUUAAUGAUUCAUCCAUUGUAGCUGUGAGCAUAAAUAGGGCACAAUCUUGAAUUGGAUAUUAUCUUAUUUCUUUGACAUUGCUGAAACAAGCAAAUAUGUAAAUAAAGUGCAGCUGUAAACUCGUACUUUAAGCUUGACCUUUUCAGCGUUUUGAAUAAAAGUCUGUUUUGUCAUUGCUACCAAGCAUAAUUUAUCAUACCUUCAAGCUGCAUCCACUCACAAUAUGUGAGUUUUGUUAGGUUAAGGAAAGAACUCAAAUCAAAUUACAGCUUUACCGUCAACAGACCAAAACAGUUAAAUCAAGUACUUUUUAAAAACUGUGCAAAAACAAAAUUGGGCAUGCAGUUUCAGUCCGUCUGUUUACAUUUCAAUCUCCAGGGAGGGAUGCUACUUAUUCAAAGGGUUUGUUUUCUUCAAAAGCUGUCAUAAUUGAUGGGAUUUUUGUCAUUUGACAUCUAAAAUGAUUGGCAGGCCGUUUUAUUCCCAUCUGCCACUGGGAAGAGUGGAAGGGGCCAUCGCUCAGGUUUGUGCUCUCAUUAAAAAAACACAACAUCUCUAGUGCUAUCUGUACAACAUUCAACAACACAUUUCUCUUUUUUUUUGUACGUUUGUUUUGUUUUUUAACCAUAAUGCCAAAACAAUAAUAAUUAUCAUUAUAAGAGGAGCAUUUUUCCAUCUCAACGGCAUUGAACAAACACCACACAAACUGAAAUAAAAAUCUAAUAAAGGCCUCAAUACCAGAUAGUACACGUCACCUUCAAGUGGUGCUGAAGACAGUUUACGGACAAGAGAGGGAUAUGGAGGAAAGCAAGCAUGAAGAAAGAGAUGAAAGGAAGAAAACAGGAGGAAAAGAAAAGAGUAAAGGUGAAUUUUUUUUCAGUUGAUAUUAGCUUUAGUGUCACCUCGGACAAGUUUUGGCACCUCAUGAAUUUAAAUAUAAUAUUCAUUAGUCUUAGACUUGGGCUUUGGUUUACCAAGGGUUAGUAUUAAGACCAAAAGUAUUCUAACCCUACAUCUAUGAUGAUUUUUUACUUGCUAAGGGUUAGGUAGUUUAUCACUUAAAGUUUCUAGCCAUGCUAGAAUUUAAAAAAGGCCUAGUGACCUUGUUUAAGGCCG